UCUAUUCCGAUCAACUCGUUCUUCUCCUCCUUUUCUCCGUUUCUAUUCCUCUCCGUUUUUCUAUUCUCUCUCGAUCUCUCUUCCUCUCUCAAUCUUUCAACCUUAAUUUUCUCUCUGUGUGUAUGCGUAUGUGUGGAUUUCGGUCAGCUGUGUGGUCUUUGACGACGGUGCGUGUAUAUUUCCCGUCGCCCGCGGAUGUGUACGUAUGUACUGUAAAUGGAGAGUGGGGUGUGAAUUAUAUGUGUAUUUGUGUGUAAAGGAGUCCAUCG
rnacentral:lncRNA from 1 species